CNNUUCNGGUCUCUUCGNGAGAGNGCGGACGGGUGAGUACGCGUGGGUAACCUGCCCUGUACACACGGAUAACAUACCGAAAGGUAUACUAAUACGGGAUAACAUANGAAAGUCGCAUGGCUUUUGUAUCAAAGCUCCGGCGGUACAGGAUGGACCCGCGUCUGAUUAGCUAGUUGGUAAGGUAAUGGCUUACCAAGGCAACGAUCAGUAGCCGACCUGAGAGGGUGAUCGGCCACACUGGAACUGAGACACGGUCCAGACUCCUACGGGAGGCAGCAGUGGGGAAUAUUGCACAAUGGGCGAAAGCCUGAUGCAGCAACGCCGCGUGAGCGAUGAAGGCCUUCGGGUCGUAAAGCUCUGUCCUCAAGGAAGAUAAUGACGGUACUUGAGGAGGAAGCCCCGGCUAACUACGUGCCAGCAGCCGCGGUAAUACGUAGGGGGCUAGCGUUAUCCGGAAUUACUGGGCGUAAAGGGUGCGUAGGUGGUUUUUUAAGUCAGAAGUGAAAGGCUACGGCUCAACCGUAGUAAGCUUUUGAAACUAGAGAACUUGAGUGCAGGAGAGGAGAGUAGAAUUCCUAGUGUAGCGGUGAAAUGCGCUGAUAUUAGGAGGAAUACCAGUAGCGAAGGCGGCUCUCUGGACUGUAACUGACACUGAGGCACGAAAGCGUGGGGAGCAAACAGGAUUAGAUACCCUGGUAGUCCACGCCGUAAACGAUGAGUACUAGGUGUCGGGGGUUACCCCCCUCGGUGCCGCAGCUAACGCAUAAGACUCCCCUGAAG
rnacentral:rRNA from 1 species